GGAAGUGUAGCUCAGUGGUAGUGCACUUGCCUAACAUGUAUGAGGCCCUGGGUUCAAUCCCCAGCACUGCCA